ACCAAGAUGGCUGAGUGGUUAAGGCAUUGGACUUGAGAUCUAAUGGGCUAGGUCCUGCGUGGGUUCAAACCCCACUCUCAGCA